rnacentral:rRNA from 1 species
UUGCCUGGCGGCCUUAGCGCGGUGGUCCCACCUGACCCCAUGCCGAACUCAGAAGUGAAACGCCGUAGCGCCGAUGGUAGUGUGGGGUCUCCCCAUGCGAGAGUAGGG